rnacentral:lncRNA from 1 species
CUCUCAGCUCCCUUCCCCGGCGUGACCCUCCGUCUUUCUCUUUGUCAGUUCUGACAUUUACUCAUUUUUUGUCUACAGAGAGUGGAUGAGAGCUCUCUGCCACUGUCCGGGAGGGCUGGGGCUGGGUGAGGUCUGGGGGCUGGGUGAGGUCUGAGGGCUGGCUGGCAGCUAGGAGGAGGGAGACAUGACGCUGACGGCCCUGCAUUGCUGCUUCCUCCAGCUGAAUCUACCACCCUGACUUGUGAGUGUCGAGGGCUUUCUGGGGAGCUGCUGGGACUAGAGAGGCGAGAUCAGCAGGUGGGUGGGCCUGGCCUCUCAGCUGGCCCAGGCCCUUCCUCUGCUCAAGCCCCCGCCCUGCCCUGCAGGAGCAGUCACGGAGCUGCGACACCACCAGAGCUGGGACACCACCAGAGCUGCGAGACCACCAGAGCUGUGACACCACCAGAGCCGGGACACCACCAGAGCCGGGACACCACCAGAGCCGGGACACCACCAGAGCUCCGAGACCACCAGAGCUGCCACACCACCAGAGCUGUGACACCACCAGAGCCGUGACACCACCAGAGCCGGGACACCACCAGAGCCGGGACACCACCAGAGCCGCGAGACCACCAGAGCCGUGACACCACCAGAGCCGGGACACCACCAGAGCUGGGACACCACCAGAGCUGCGAGACCACCAGAGCUGGGACACCACCAGAGCUGCCACACCACCAGAGCUGCGACAGCACCAGAGCCGGGACACCAGCAGAGCCGGGACACCACCAGAGCCGCAACACCACCAGAGCUGCGACACCAGCAGAGCCGCGACACCAGCAGAGCCGGGACACCACCAGAGCCGUGACACCAGCAGAGCCGGGACACCACCAGAGCUGCGAGACCACCAGGGCCGGGACACCACCAGGGCCGGGACACCACCAGAGCUGCGAGACCACCAGGGCCGGGACACCACCAGAGCCGGGACACCACCAGAGCUGCGAGACCACCAGGGCCGUGACACCACCAGAGCCGGGACACCACCAGAGCUGGGACACCACCAGAGCUGCGAGACCACCAGAGCUGGGACACCACCAGAGCUGCCACACCACCAGAGCUGCGACACCAGCAGAGCCGCGACACCAGCAGAGCCGGGACACCAGCAGAGCCGGGACACCACCAGAGCCGUGACACCAGCAGAGCCGGGACACCACCAGGGCCGGGACACCAGCAGAGCCGGGACACCACCAGAGCCGUGACACCAGCAGAGCCGGGACACCACCAGGGCCGGGACACCACCAGAGCUGCGAGACCACCAGGGCCGGGACACCACCAGAGCCGGGACACCACCAGAGCUGGGACACCACCAGAGCUGCGAGACCACCAGAGCCGUGACACCACCAGAGCCGUGACACCAGCAGAGCUGGGACACCACCAGAGCUGUGAGACCACCAGAGCCGGGACACCACCAGAGCCGGGACACCACCAGAGCUGCGAGACCACCAGAGCCGUGACACCAGCAGAGCCGGGACACCACCAGAGCCGGGACACCACCAGAGCCGGGACACCACCAGAGCUCCGAGACCACCAGAGCUGCCACACCACCAGAGCUGUGACACCACCAGAGCUGUGACACCACCAGAGCCGGGACACCACCAGAGCCGGGACACCACCAGAGCUGCGAGACCACCAGAGCUGGGACACCACCAGAGCUGGGACACCACCAGAGCCGGGACACCACCAGAGCUCCGAGACCACCAGAGCUGCCACACCACCAGAGCUGUGACACCACCAGAGCCGGGACACCACCAGAGCCGGGACACCACCAGAGCCGGGACACCACCAGAGCUGUGACACUGUGGCUUCAGUAAAGCUGUUUCUUCUACCACUGGCUUGCCCUUGCAUUCUUUCCUGGGUGAAGCCAAAAACCCAGAGGGCUAAACUCCACUUUCGGGCUCGCCUGCCUGCAUCAUAACCAUCAGGCCUGGAGAGCCGGGUCUCUUGAGAGUAAACUGCCGUGAGAUUCUACAGGAACUCUGCCUCUCCUCUGGGCUGAGCUGUUCUGCCUCAGUUUCCUCACUAACAAAAUGGGGUGACAUCUUGAGGUGGCCCCUCUCGGUGCUGCCAGCCUCUCUGCUCCCCACUCUUUUUGGGCAGCCCUCAAGGCCCUCGUACAGCAUCUGGGGGGCGGGUCACACUGCAUACGGCAGGGGUGGGGGGGGUCACAGACAGAGGUGCUAAAUCGAUGCAGG